GCCCUGGUAGCGUAGUGGUUAAGCGCUAUGGCUGCUAACCAAAAGGUAGGCAGUUCAAAUCUGCCAGGCA
rnacentral:tRNA from 1 species